UACGUAGGGUCCGAGCGUUGUCCGGAAUUACUGGGCGUAAAGCGUGCGCAGGCGGCUUUCCAAGCGCCACGUGAAAGCCCCGGGCUCAACCCGGGAGGGUCGUGGCGAACUGGGAGGCUUGAGGCCGGUAGAGGUGGGUGGAACUCCUGGUGGAGUGGUGAAAUGCGUAGAGAUCCGGAGGAACACCGACGGCGUAGGCAGCGCCCUAGACGAGACCUGACGCUCAGGCACGAAAGCGCGGGGAGCGAACAGG
rnacentral:rRNA from 1 species